rnacentral:rRNA from 1 species
CCGGCGCACGGGUGCGUAACGCGUAUGCAAUCUACCUUAUACUGGGGUAUAGCCCGAAGAAAUUCGGAUUAAUCCCCCAUAGUACUGAUAUACCUCAUGGUAAUUCAGUUAAAGUUUCGGCGGUAUGAGAUGAGCAUGCGUCCUAUUAGCUAGAUGGUAAGGUAACGGCUUACCAUGGCUACGAUAGGUAGGGGGCCUGAGAGGGUGACCCCCCACACUGGUACUGAGACACGGACCAGACUCCUACGGGAGGCAGCAGUGAGGAAUAUUGGUCAAUGGGCGCAAGCCUGAACCAGCCAUGCCGCGUGCAGGAAGAAUGCCCUAUGGGUUGUAAACUGCUUUUAUUUAGGAAUAAACCUUUCUACGUGUAGAAAGCUGAAGGUACUGAAUGAAUAAGCACCGGCUAACUCCGUGCCAGCAGCCGCGGUAAUACGGAGGGUGCAAGCGUUAUCCGGAAUCAUUGGGUUUAAAGGGUCCGCAGGCGGGCGUAUAAGUCAGUGGUGAAAUCCUGCAGCUUAACUGCAGAACUGCCAUUGAUACUGUACGUCUUGAAUUCGGUCGAAGUGGGCGGAAUGUGUAGUGUAGCGGUGAAAUGCAUAGAUAUUACACAGAACACCGAUAGCGAAGGCAGCUCACUAGGCCUGGAUUGACGCUCAGGGACGAAAGCGUGGGGAUCAAACAGGAUUAGAUACCCUGGUAGUCCACGCUGUAAACGAUGAUUACUCGUUUUCGGCGAUAUACUGUCGGAGACUAAGCGAAAGUGAUAAGUAAUCCACCUGGGGAGUACGAUCGCAAGGUUGAAACUCAAAGGAAUUGACGGGGGCCCGCACAAGCGGU